GGAGGGGACAUCCCACAUAGGCCAGGUUUUUCCAUCUGUGCAAUAAUGACUUGCUUUUCUCUCUAAAAACAGAGAAAAGAGUUGAAAUUUCCCCAAAGGACAUGAUGUGAAUAUCAAUCCACACAGAAUUUUGGCUUAACCUGCAAUUAUUAUAAUCUCCAUGUCCCAAAGCUCCAACUGUAAGACCAAUAUAAACAGUUUAAGCAGUAAUCUGGUGAUUCACUCCUUUUGUGGGUCUGUAUGAUGGACUAGGAUAGAAUAUGUCCUAAAUAUACAUUAGAGUGGGGUGAUCUGCACGGUUUAUUUUAGUAUGCAUAUGUGUGUGUGUGUGUGUGUGUUAGAAAUAAAGUAAAAGAAUAUUCAAAGCAUCAAUAUUAUAUAGUCUCAAAUGAUUAUUUUAAGUGUUACCAAAUUAUACAUGUCUUCAGGAGAUAGGGUGCUUUUAAUCUGUUAUUUGAAGAACCACAUCACAUAUAGAAUUCAUGCAUAAGUUCAAUUCUCCUUAGUAUUUGAAUGUUUUCCUUUAUUAAAAGCAUGAACUCAAAAUCACAUACUCUGAAAUUGUCUUUCCUGAGUUUUAUUUACUGCUCUGUUGCUUGCUAAGUAUAAAUAAAUAAAUACACACACAUACACACACUCAAACAAAGAGCUAACUUUCUUAUAGCAUCUAACAGAAUACAGUGCUAAGCUCUGAUAAACGUAGAACUAUCUCUAUCUCCCUUCCCUCUCCUCUCUGUCCUCUCUUCUCUUUCCCUCUCUCUCUCUCUAUGUGUGUGUGUGUGUGUGUGUAUUUUAAGUUUUCAGAUUAAAGGAUAUUUAUAAAAGAACUGAUUUUUCUCAGAAUGGACAUUUCACCAAAACUAUUUUUUAUGUCCUAAUAAAAUUGAAAUAAAUGUUUUCUCUUUUGUUUUUCAGUGCCACAGAUUGAACCCAGUGCCUUUCACAUUGCUAGUUAAGUUCUUUACUGUCACGCUACACCCCAGCCUCUGAAAUAAGAAUUUUAAACCUAACGUAUGUGUGUCUGUGAUAAAUCAGAGGUUACAAAAUUAGAAUCAACAGGCCUGUGUUAGUCCACAGAAAGAUAAUUCCUGAACAAAAAUUUGAGCCCGUGUUUAAAUCCUAUGAAAACAAAAUCUGAUUUCAGCAAGUUAGACUCCUGUAUGAAAUGCAGUGAAAGAGUAUAACUCUCUGAAAGACCCUGUACUGACUGCUGAGAAUUGCUGUCUGCUAUUUAAAUGUAAAAGGAGAACUGAAGAAAUACCCUCCAACUCCGGAGCUGGAGGGCAGGAGGGCAUGCGGGAGUGUGAGUGCUGUUUGAUGGUGUCUCAGGCAGUGCUUGUCAAGUUUUAAAGACUAAAAGAAUCACUUGUGGAUUUGUGGAAAUGCAGGUUCUUGAGCUAUACCCCCAAAGAUUCUGAUUGAGUGGGAUGGGGACUUGAGCAUUUCUGUUUCUAACCAGAUCCUAUGUGAUACAGAUGCUUUUCAUAAAUACACUAUAUUUUGAAGAGUAUAGGCUGACAGGAAGAAGAAUCUCAGUCAUUCAAAAGGCAUCCCAACUUAGACCUUAUUCAUAAAGUAGCUGAAAACAUAAUCAAAGAUCUCACUGUAAGAUUAAUCACAAAAGUAUGAAUCUUAGAAGCUAUGAAACAAUGAUAAACCUUAGAAGAAAUUAUACGUACAAAUCUUUGUGGUCUUAAACUAUACAAUGGUUCAUUAUAUGUGACACUAAAAACACAAGAAACAACAAAAACAAAUAAGCAAUCAUCAUCAAAAUUAAAAAGCUUCAAAGGACAUUGAUAAGAAAGUGAAACGACAACUCAAGGAGCAGGAGAAAAUUUGUAUAAAUCAUAUGCCCACAGGAAAAAAUUUGUAUACAUAUAUAUACAUAUAUUUUCUCUUGCUGAAAGUCUGUGGGCAGAUACACACACACACACACACACACACACACACAUAGUGUAUUCUUUCAGUUAAACAAAAAAUAAUAAUUCAACAUAAAAAUGGACACAGGAUUUGAACAGUUAUUUCCCAAAGAAAGAUAUUCAAAUAUACUCAGGAGGAAAGGCUUCACUUCACUAGCAAAUAAGAAAAUUUAUAUCAAAAAAAAUUUAUAUCAAAAAAAUUUAUAUCAAAACCAUACUUAUGCAUACUAGGAUGGCUAUAUAAAAUGUACAAAUAAACACAAAAGCACUGAGAAGGACUGGAGAAGUUGGAACCGUCAGACAUACAUAGCUGAUGAGAAUCUAAAAUAGUGCUGUGGAUUUGAAAACGAGCUUGGCAGCUCCUCAAAAUGUUGAAUGUAGUGUUAACAUAUGAUCUAACAAUUCCACUCCUAGGUGUUUAUGAAAACAGGUCUACCAAAAAAAAGUCUACACAUGAAUGGUCAGGGAAAUCCAUCCAUUCAAAUGUCCAUUAACUGAUAAGUGUUGGGAAAAGUAUAAACGGCAGCCAUACCCCAGAGAAAAACCCCAACAUGGCGCCUAAGGACUUCUUCUUCCUACCUUCUUCUUUUCUGCAGUGGCCCGAAAAGUUCCCGCCCGUGUGAACUCUCUCGCUGGCGCCAAUUUCAAAUCUCGCUGGCGGGGAACCUUAGACCCAAUGAGAACUAAUUCCUGGGCUCCGGAGCUGAUAUCUGAAAGAACUUGCCAAUAAACGGGUUGCCUGCCAUUUAUCUAAGCCCUACUAUCUCCCCCUUAGUUCUAUAUAAACACACUGCUUUUUGCAAUAAAAUUGGAAUUCUCCCGGCGAAGUGUCUUUGCGUGGGGAAUUCUUUCAAUAAGUAAAUCAAAUAUAUUUCAUGCAAAAAAAUGGAAUGUCAUUUGGCAAGAAAAGAAAUGAAGUAGUGAAACACGCUGCAAUACAGAAGAACUUUGAAAAUAAUUGUGCUAAUUAAAAUAAUCCAGCUACAAAGGAUUACAUGUUGCCUGAUUCCACUAUAUGAAGGUAUACAAUAGGCAGAUGUAGCAUCAUAGAAAGUACUCUAGUGAUUGCCUAUGCCUGAGGAGGUGGUAGAGGUAGCUGGAAACAGAAGGAUUUUAGGGACUGAUGAAUGAGGUGUGAGGUUUGUUUGGGGGCUAAUUAAAUUGUUCUAAAAGUAACUGUGGUCAUGAGUGUAUAACUCUGAGGAUAUAUUAAAAACCAUUGACCUAUAUACUAUAAAUGGGUGAAUUGCAUAUUAUAUGAUUACAUCUUAACCGAGGUGCUUUUAAAAAGACAUGAAAGUGUUUAUUGUGUAACUACUGUAUAUUAAAUGCCAUCUUCUUUCUCCUUUUGACCUUUGAAGUACCAGAUUAACAGGAAUAACUCAAGAUGUUUUUCUAAUCUUUGCCUUUCCCAAUGACUGGAUUUCAUGCUUUGACUAAGAGCUUUCAACACACCCUCUACCUCCCCUUCAGAGCAUGCAGUCACAUUUUAAUGUGAUAGAUUGCUUAAUGUCUCAUCAUCUUUCUCAGAUGCUAAGCCCUAGUGACCAUGAAUGUCUUGUCUGCUAUGUUAUCCCCAUAACUUAAUACAGUUCUUUGUAAAUGUGAU
rnacentral:lncRNA from 1 species